AGAGCGAACGCUGGCGGCAUGCUUAACACAUGCAAGUCGCACGGGCAGGGGAAACCCUGUCAGUGGCGGACGGGUGAGUAACGCGUAGGUAUCUAUCCUUGGGUGGGGGACAACGGCUGGAAACGGCUGCUAAUACCGCAUGAUGACCGAGGUCUAAAGGCGCAAGUCGCCUGGGGAGGAGCCUGCGUACGAUUAGCUUGUUGGUGGGGUAAAGGCCUACCAAGGCUACGAUCGUUAGCUGGUCUGAGAGGAUGAUCAGCCACAUUGGGACUGAGACACGGCCCAAACUCCUACGGGAGGCAGCAGUGGGGAAUAUUGGACAAUGGGCGCAAGCCUGAUCCAGCAAUGCCGCGUGUGUGAAGAAGGUCUUCGGAUUGUAAAGCACUUUCGACGGGGACGAUGAUGACGGUACCCGUAGAAGAAGCCCCGGCUAACUUCGUGCCAGCAGCCGC
rnacentral:rRNA from 1 species